UACGGGGGGGGCAAGCGUUGUUCGGAAUUACUGGGCGUAAAGGGCUCGUAGGCGGCCAACUAAGUCAGACGUGAAAUCCCCAGGCUUAACCUGGGAACUGCGUCGGAUACUGGUUGGCUUGAAUCCGGGAGAGGGAUGCGGAAUUCCAGGUGUAGCGGUGAAAUGCGUAGAUAUCUGGAGGAACACCGGUGGCGAAGGCGGCAUCCUGGACCGGCAUUAACGCUAAGGCGCAAAAGCUAGGGAACCAAACGGA
rnacentral:rRNA from 1 species